rnacentral:rRNA from 1 species
CCUACGGGAGGCUGCAGUGGGGAAUAUUGGACAAUGGGGGGAACCCUGAUCCAGCCAUGCCGCGUGUGUGAAGAAGGCCCUCGGGUUGUAAAGCACUUUCAGUGAGGAAGAACGCCUGGUGGUUAAUACCCAUCAGGAAAGACAUCACUCACAGAAGAAGCACCGGCUAACUCCGUGCCAGCAGCCGCGGUAAUACGGAGGGUGCGAGCGUUAAUCGGAAUUACUGGGCGUAAAGCGCGCGUAGGUGGCUUGAUAAGCCGGUUGUGAAAGCCCCGGGCUCAACCUGGGAACGGCAUCCGGAACUGUCAAGCUAGAGUGCAGGAGAGGAAGGUAGAAUUCCCGGUGUAGCGGUGAAAUGCGUAGAGAUCGGGAGGAAAACCAGUGGCGAAGGCGGCCUUCUGGACUGACACUGACACUGAGGUGCGAAAGCGUGGGUAGCAAACAGGAUUAGAUACCCUGGUAGUC